rnacentral:rRNA from 1 species
UUUGUCCUACGGGGGGCAGCAGUAGGGAAUCUUCCACAAUGGACGAAAGUCUGAUGGAGCAACGCCGCGUGAGUGAAGAAGGGUUUCGGCUCGUAAAGCUCUGUUGGGAGUGAAGAAAGAUAGAGGGAGUAACUGGGCUUUAUUUGACGGUAAUUACUUAGAAAGUCACGGCUAACUACGUGCCAGCAGCCGCGGUAAUACGGAGGUGGCAAGCGUUGUCCGGAUUUAUUGGG